rnacentral:miRNA from 1 species
ACUGCAUACCAUGUGAUCUCGCU